AUUUAGAUAGCAUUGGCUCACCGCAGAGACGUCGCCGGCUCGCCACCAUGAGCUACAGAGGUGGCGGGAGCAGCGAAGGGGCCGAGUGCUGUCGUAUGUCGUGCAGCGGCCACACCGCAGGUAGCCACUCACGGCAACUACGCGCACGCACGCACCGGUCGCCGUCGCGCCGUGAGCUUCGCCUGGCUGUGCACUGCCGCAACCACACGUGAGUUCUUCCGACACGCACCGCCCACAGUCGACCUGCGAGCCACACAUGCACUGCCGCGAAGCGUUGCUUGAUCCCCUCCAUGGACUCGUGCUCGCCAUCGCAGUCCGUCGCCCUGGCCACGGAGAGGGCCAAGAUCCAUGGAGCUGCUCGUGGGGUGAGCAUAUCGUCCUCGUGCUCCUCAAUUCUGCUGGGGUAUCGUUUGGGCUGGGUGGCAGAGAUGGCAAAUUCCUCCUCGGGUGUCUUAGGUUCGGUUCCUUUGCUUCACUCACUGUUUCUGGUUGUUGUGUGCUUCCUUGGCUUGUUUUGCCUGAAUUGAGCUUCUCUGGAUAGUAAUGAGAUUGAUGCUAACAUGUACUACUUCAGUACUUUACUUGUUUCUUAGUAAGAAUAGUGAUCAAAUUCUUGUAAUCCGAGGCAGCCUGGCUACUUGAAAAAUGUAACUUUUAUUAGUAUUGCUGUCUAGGUUGAUGGGUUGGUGCAUUUGUUGUACAUGACAGAGAAUUUCUAAUUUUGGUAGUUUGGUCGAUACAUUAUCUUUCCCUUUUGGAUGUUUGUGAAUUCUGACAUGUCCAAUGGGGAAACAAAUGCUCAAUUUAGUUAGCUUACCUUAAAUUCGGUUUUACCUGUUGAAUUAUCACAUUGUGUUUUAUCAUCAAUUUCUCACAGUUAUGCAACCCUGGCUACUGGACACUUGUAAAACUCUUGUUUCCUUUGUGCAGGGUGGUACACCUCCUAUAUUUUGAGAAAUAAAACUUAUGGUUAUAUGAUAUCAUCUAAGGUGAAACGUUGAAAGGGCUCUUGGAUUGUAUGCCUCGCUCAGGUUGGUGCGGUCUUAUAUUUCAAGAAAUAAAAUCUUGUGGUUAUAUGCUAUCAGUUAAUGUGAACCCGUGAAAGGCUGCUUGAAUUGUAUGCCUCGCUCAGGUAAUGAAUCCUUUGUGCAGAGAGCUCUUCUUGAUGCCCCCAUAAGUAAUGAAUUUGCUACACAGCAAAAAAAAAGUAGCUAUUUGUUUUAUGGGACCCUGCUUGCUUAUUGUAUUAAAAUGACGAUAUGGCUUUGUUUA